UGCUUCAGCAAUCCCUUUUCUCUUAGCUCUGAAAACCCGGUGGUUUCCCCCCAAAAGCAAGAAGCUAUUUCGAUAUACUUGGGCUCCCGUGGAUUUCAUUAUGUUUCAAACUUCUACUUGGAUUGGGUAUCUAUUGAUUUCAGAGCGAGAAUGGGUCACGGAACUUUCAUUUUUUUUCCUGCAUCAUUCUUUUGUUUCUUGCCACUUGUGCUUUUCUUUUUUGUGGAUCGAAGACUUGAAAUGAAGAGGGCAGGGGGUGUCAAGCAGGCUUCAUUGGCAACAACAUCUCUUCGACUUUGUUGUUGCUAUGUCUUUUAGUACGAGUUCAUUGAAGACAAGUGUUGAUCCAUGGCUCCAAAGGUGAGAAUUGCACUCUGAAUUUUGUAGUAAUGCAUCCCUCAAAUUUGCUAUAUUUUGAAUGAGUUUUGAUGUACUUGAGUGUAAAUACUCUGGCAUUUCUGUUUCCACAGGGGAAAUUAUUUGAUUGGUCUUGACAAUGGGAAUUUGGACACCCUUUUUUGUGUUCCCAUUCGUAUUUUGUCUUGGAUACUUGCCAUAUUUUCCAAUUAACACUUGUACAAAGAAAUGCUUUUCCCAAAAUCUUUUGUAGUUUUGACUUGUCUUCUAGUUCCUUGGGUGUUUACCAUGUGAAUGAGUUUCCUAAAUAAUUUGGCAGCAAGCUUUUCCUUCUUUGUAGA